rnacentral:rRNA from 1 species
UCCGGUGACCGUAUCGGAGGGGUCACACCCGUUCCCAUUCCGAACACGGAAGUUAAGCCCUCUUGAGCCAAUGGUACUGCGCGGGCAACUGCGUGGGAGAGUAGGUAGUCGCCGGAU